rfam:Triticum aestivum genome assembly, contig: Triticum_aestivum_CS42_TGACv1_scaffold_577492_7BL
UUUGUACUCCCUCCGUCCCAAAAUUCUUGUCUUAAAUUUGUCUAGAUACGGAUGUAUCUAAUACUAAAAUAUGAUUUGAUACAUCCAUAUUUAGACAAAUUUAAGACAAAGAUUUUGGGACGGAUGGAGUAGUAU